rnacentral:rRNA from 1 species
AAUGAACGCUGGCGGCGCGCCUAAUACAUGCAAGUCGAGCGAGAAGACGUAGCAAUACGUUUGUAAAGCGGCGAACGGGUGAGGAAUACAUGGGGUAACCUACCCUCGAGUGGGGAAGUAACUAGCCGAAGGUUAGCUAAUACCGCGUACGCUCCUUGGACUUCGGUUCAGGGAGGGAAAGCGAUACCAUGGGUAUCGCGCUCUUGGUUGGGCUCAUGUCCUAUCAGCUUGUUGGGAGGUAACGGCUCACCAAGGCUUCGACGGGUAGCUGGUCUGAGAGGACGAUCAGCCACACUGGCACUGCGACACGGGCCAGACUCCUACGGGAGGCAGCAGUAAGGAAUAUUGCGCAAUGGGCGAAAG